GGAUGAUCAGCCACACUGGGGACUGAGACACGGCCCAGACUCCUACGGGGAGGGCAGCAGUGGGGAAUAUUGGACAAUGCGCGCAAGCCUGAUCCAGCCAUGCCGCGUGAGUGAAGAAGGCCUUCGAGUUGUAAAGCUCUUUCAGAUGCGAAGAUGAUGACGGUAACAUCAGAAGAAGCCCCGGCUAAUUUCGUGCCAGCAGCCGCGGUAAUACGAAAGGGGCAAGCGUUGUUCGGAUUUACUGGGCGUAAAGGGCACGCAGGCGGUCCUGCCAGUCAGGGGUGAAAGCCCGGGGCUCAACCCCGGAACUGCCUCUGAUACUGCAGGACUAGAGACUAGGAGAGGGUGGUGGAAUUCCCAGUGUAGAGGUGAAAUUCGUAGAUAUUGGGAGGAACACCAGAGGCGAAGGCGGCCACCUGGACUAGAUUGACGCU
rnacentral:rRNA from 1 species